GCCGACGUGGCCCAAUCUGGUAGAGGCCGCAGUCUCAGAAACUGUGUGUUGUGAGGGUUCGAAUCCCUCCGUCGGUACCA
rnacentral:tRNA from 2 species